rnacentral:lncRNA from 1 species
CCCAUGCCCAAGAAUAGCAAGCGAGUAAAACCCCAACACACACACACACACACACACACACACACACACACACACACACACACAGUCAGCAGUGGAGCAGGGGGAGGGCGCGGCUAGCGGACCCAAGCCCUCUGGGCAGGCUGCAGCAGUCACAGCAUUCUAAAGGCAUUGGGGUCGAAUACACUUACGAUGAAUCUAGGGGAACGGUCGGCCUGAUUGCCUUUCAAAUACCUCGAGUGGCUUCGUUGACCGGCACCCUCCAAACUCACAAGGGCACGCACGCUACUUGCAAGCAUCCCAGAGGAGGGUGGGAGGGAGGGAGGAAAGGAGGGAGAAGGAGAGGGAGAGGGGUGGGGGGAGAGCGAGCAGCCGCAGCAAGCGGUCCGUCUCGCACGCGCGGGCCCCGCGCUGGUACAGGGCUGCAGGUUUCCCAGAUGAUGGCAUCCGAGAACUUAAACAAAGAGGGUCGCCACCGGCGCGCGGCGGCUGCACAAAGUUGCAGUGGCGGAUUUCCAAGAAGCUUGGCCACCGGAGCUCUGGGCGAAGCAAGCCUCCCUUUCCCACCUCCGGCAAGACGGAGACCCGGGCUCGCGCGGGGAGGAAAGAGGAAACUUUGAAACCAUUGGGGACACAUCUGUCUAUAGACCAAUCGCGAAGGCAGGGAGCAGCGGAGGGACGGCAGACGUUUGGGCCGGACACUAAGAACAACUGCGGGGAAAAAAAUAAAACACCAACCCCAACCUUCAGCAACAAGGAAAGAUGUCGCACCAGACCGUGACUGUUGCGAGGAAAAUGAAAAGGGACUCUUGUUUCAGAGACAUCCAAGAGCUCCGGCAAUAGCAACUUCAGAGAAAUGCACCAUCGCAAGAAGUUUUCCUAGGACAGAACAAAACUUGAAAGGAGAGGACCAGAGUGGGAGAACAGGAGCCAGCCUCCCCACUCCACAGACGCCAGACGCCAGUAUCACCACGCCUGUAAGGACCAGAAAAGUUUUACUAUGCUAAGGAGAAACAGUGAAAUGUGUUGCUGAAAAGCAGAGAAGCCAGCGGACCAGCAAGGAGCGGCCCGAUUGCUGGCCACCCACGAUUUGGCCAAGGAAGAAAGGAACCGCUUCGUCCUUUGUUGUCUCCCGUGAAACCUUUGCUUAGCAGGUGGACAGAGCCCCGCGCCGGGGCAGAGUCCGCACCCGCCAGAGGACGAGGACAAGAGGAACAACCGGAGCCCCUGCGCCCGGAGAGAGCGCCCGAAGUACGGGUCCCCGCCCCACUGGGCGAGCCUUGCUGGAGCGAGCCGAUUGCUCCCGGCCAGGGGGGAGACCACGACCCCCCCUGAAAGGGCUGGCCACGGAGCUCACCCCGAGAAGCGAUCCCCUCUCCCCAGGGCGCUGCUCCUGCUGCCGCUGCUGCGGCUGCUGCUGACCGAGGCCCGCCCGCGACCCCCGCGCCCUGCCGAGCGGCCUUGCAGCUGCAGCCCCGGGCCGCGGCCGCGGCGGCGGCGGGGGCGGAGGCGGCGGAGGAGGAGGCGGCGCGCGAAGGCGGCGGGGGCCGGCGGGGACCCGAGGCGGGGGAGGAGGA